rnacentral:tRNA from 1 species
GCUGGUGUGGCAUAGUGGUUUGAGUGUUGGACCACAACUCUGGAGACCAGGGUUUGAGUCCUGCUUGGGCA